UGGUGCUUGAUGGAUCUUCGGGAGGAGAUAGAGUCUCUGUCUGGAGAGACUCAAUCCAGUUGGGAGAGUGGACGGUUUUAUAAGUGAGUAUAGCCACGUGAAGACCGGGAGGGAGGCUUCUUCUCCACAGCCCAGAUCAUGUGCAGUCUGUCAACAUGGAUCAAGGCCCACCCUCCCCGUCUCAUCGAUGACCAUCCAGCAUACAAGGUGAGAUGCCUCCUGAGUGUUCGACCUCAGGGCAGGGGUUUCCAGUACCUGGUUACUGGGAGGGUUAUGGCCGGAGGAGAGGUGCUGGGUCCCUGCUAAGGACAUCCUGGACCCGGUCAACCACCGGCAUCCCGUUCAACAAGUCCUCCCAGUUCCGACCUUUUCUGCCUGCCCUGACGUCGAGCCUGCCUGCCGUCCUGUACCCAACUGACUCUGACCUGGUUUACAAACUUCUGCUUGUCCUCAACCUGCGUCUUGCCUGCCCCUUGUCUUUUAAUAAACAUCAGAGACUCAAACCAUCUGCCUCCUGUGUCUGUAUUUGGGUCUCGUCCUGUGUCGUUAUAGUAGGUGUCAUGUCAUGGUAACCAAUUACACAAAUAUAGUUUAA
rnacentral:lncRNA from 1 species